UACGGGGGGGGCAAGCGUUGUUCGGAAUUACUGGGCGUAAAGGGUUCGUAGGUGGCUGUCUAAGUCAGACGUGAAAUCCCUCAGCUCAACUGGGGAACUGCGUCUGAGACUGGACAGCUCGAGUGCAGGAGAGGAACGCGGAAUUCCAGGUGUAGCGGUGAAAUGCGUAGAUAUCUGGAGGAACACCGGUGGCGAAGGCGGCGUUCUGGACUGCAACUGACACUGAGGAACGAAAGCCAGGGGAGCAAACGGG
rnacentral:rRNA from 1 species